rnacentral:rRNA from 1 species
AGCCCUUGACUUGUGACUCGCCGGCUCCAGAGACGGAGCCUUCGGUUCGGCCGGAGUCAACACAGGUGCUGCAUGGCUGUCGUCAGCUCGUGUCGUGAGAUGUUGGGUUAAGUCCCGCAACGAGCGCAACCCUCGUCUCCAGUUGCCAUCAGGUUAUGCUGGGCACUUUGGAGAAACUGCCGGUGACAAGCCGGAGGAAGGUGGGGAUGACGUCAAGUCCUCAUGGCCCUUACGGGCUGGGCUACACACGUGCUACAAUGGCGGUGACAGUGGGAUGCGAAGGGGCGACCCGGAGCCGAUCCUAAAAGCCGUCUCAGUUCGGAUUGCACUCUGCAACUCGAGUGCAUGAAGGUGGAAUCGCUAGUAAUCGAGGAUCAGCAUGCCUCGGUGAAUACGUUCCC